rnacentral:rRNA from 1 species
GACGAAGGGGGCUAGCGUUGUUCGGAAUUACUGGGCGUAAAGCGCACGUAGGCGGAUCGUUAAGUCGGGGGUGAAAUCCUGGAGCUCAACUCCAGAACUGCCUUCGAUACUGGCGAUCUUGAGUCCGGAAGAGGUGAGUGGAACUCCUAGUGUAGAGGUGGAAUUCGUAGAUAUUAGGAAGAACACCAGUGGCGAAGGCGGCUCACUGGUCCGGUACUGACGCUGAGGUGCGAAAGCGUGGGGAGCAAACAGG